rnacentral:ribozyme from 1 species
GAUCGACAAGAAAAGAAAAGAUCCGCCCCCCAGAGACGAAACUAAACAAGCACAGCCGUGGCCUUUUCUUUCUUUUCUUUCUUGUUUCUUCUUCUUCUUCUUCUUCUUCUUUCUGU